GGACACCUUCCGGAAUGUCGAGGUUGUACUGAGAAAUCAUUCCACAGGCUGCGAUGCGUCCAUGUAGCCUCAUGUUCAGAAGGACGGCGUCAAGCAUUGCACCACCUACGUUCUCAAAGUAGAUGUCAAUGCCUUCAGGAAAAUACCUCUUCAAGGCAGCAUUCAGAUCAUCUUCCUUCUUGUAAUUGAAAGCCUCAUCAAACCCAAACUUGCUCUUCAACAGAUUGACCUUUUCAUCAGAACCAGCACUACCGACCACAUAACAGCCCAUUUGCUUAGCAAAUUGCCCAACAAGUUGGCCAACAGCACCUGAUGCAGCUGAUAUGAAGACAUAUUCCCCUUCCUUUGGCUUACAAAUUUCAUAAAAUCCAGCAUAAGCGGUAAAACCAGGCAUGCCAAGAAGCCCAGUAUAGUAAGAAAGGGGCACAUCGGUAUACUUAAUCUUAAAAAGAUGUUCUGUUUGUGUUAUGAAGCUG
rnacentral:misc_RNA from 1 species